ensembl:lncRNA
CUCACUUUUGCCCCUGACUGUAUCUGACUCCCAGCCUCCUCUCUGUCUCUCUCUCUCUGUCUCUCUCUCUCUCUCUGUCUCUCUCUCUCUGUCUCCCUCUCUCUUCUACUCCAUUCCCUAUCUCUGCCUGCUUUCUCUGUGGGGUACCCACUCUGACUGGUUUCCUCUCUGUCACUCUCUCUCAACUCUGAGGUAUGGGACACAUAUCCAUGGCUCUUUACCACAGACAUUUGGGGCUCUCAAAGAUGAGAACAUCCAGCUGGAAAUGCCUCAGAGACCACCUUGUUCCACCAAUGGCCAGUCAAGGCCAGACGCACCUGAGAUCACUCAACAGCAUCAAACCCGAUAAGCCAGGGUUUCCCCGAACGCAAGCACACCCAAGUAGGACCAGGACAUCUUCUCUGCCAGACCCCAGGCUGGGGACAGCACACGAAGAUGAACCGGCCAUGAUCUCCAUCCUCUGGAAGCUCAGCUCAGGCCAACUAACAUUGAUUGAGCACCUUCUGUGUGUGGUGCUGGGGGUAGCACCACACUACUCAGAACUACUUAGAACCCAGCACUUCUCCACUAGGCACCGUCAUCGCCUGCUGGGACUGGUGCAGUAGCCUCCUCACAGGACUCCCUGCUUCUGUCCUCGCCCCAAGCCUUACAAUCCAUUCUGCAAAUGGAGCUCAGCAGGGUCUCUACAAAUGAUAAAUCAGAUCACGUCUCGGCUGCUCGAAACCCUCCACUCACCCUGACAUAAAAAUGAAAACUUACCUUCAGAGUGGAGAGAUCUGGGGAGUCACCACCUGACCAAUCUGAAAUCACUGGGACCACCUGACAUUUUGGGCCUCCUGGUGGCAUGAGAUAUAAGGAAGACAGCCCCACUUGGGCUCAACUUAUUCAAGGCAUUUCUCUUUACUAGGGAGGCGGAACCCAUUAAAUGUCCCCGUAAGGAGACCAUCAGAUACCACAACUGUCCUGGACUCUUCAUAAGAGUCACAAUUGCCAAACACACCCCAAAUGGCCCUCAAUGGGAGAAUGGGUAAACUGUGGCUUCUCCACACAGUGCCUACAGUUCAGCUCAAAAGGCUACAGGACACACGUGUAAUGUGAAGCACUCACUUUGUGCUGAGCAAAAGAGGCCUUGGACACAGCAUACACACUGCAUGUUCCUUUUCCCUGAAGUUCUAGGACAGUCUAAGCCAAUCUGUGCUGAAAGAAGUGAGGAUCUGUGAGUGCCUCAUGCGGGGCAGGGAUUGCCUGGCAGGAGGCAGAGGGACCUCCCGGGAGUCUCAAAUGUUCUGUAUCUUCAUCUGGGAGAUCACACAUGUACAAGUUCCCAAGCUGCUCAUUGAAGACUUGUUUCCUAUAUGUCUGGCACAUCUCAAUAUUUUUUAAAAAUAAUAAAAUAAAUAAGCCUUUUUGUUUUGUUUUGUUUUGUUUUUUGAGACUGAGUCUCGCUCUGUCACCCAGGCUGGUGCGAUCUUGGCUCACUGCAACCUCUGCCUCCUGGGUUCAAGCAAUUCUCCUGUCUCAGCCUCCUGAGUUGCUGGGAUUACAGGCACACAUCACCACAUCCGGCUAAUUUUUGUAUUUUUAGUAGAGACAGAGUUUCACCAUGUUGGUCAGGCUGGUCUCAAACUCCUGACCUUGCGAUUUGCCUGCUUUCACCUCCCAAAGUGCUUGGAUUACAGGUGUGAGCCACCAUGCCCAGACAUAAAUAAGCUUUUUAAAAAGUCGAUGUGAGGGCCAGGUGCAGUGGUUCAUUGGAGGCUGAGGCAGGAAGAUCACCUGAGCCCAGUGA